rnacentral:misc_RNA from 1 species
UUGCGGCAGGGAUAGCAGCGGUUAGCCCGCAGGUUGGUUUUGUGGAACAAAACGCAACCGAGGACUAUGAGCGGAUAGCCCGAUGCUUU